UUCAGCUCUAACUGGUGGUGCUUAAAUACUUAAUCCCAUCAAGACAGUGUCUGUCUAAUGAGACUUUAGCACGUGCGAGAUGGGAGUUGGUUGUGGCUACGGCAGGUUUGGAAGAUUUUUCAGAAAUUGUACAUAGAAAGAUACAGCUGUUUUAUGUUUCAUUUUCCACUUCGGUGUCACGUGUGCCAGGCAACAGCGCAGCCCUUAGUGCAGUGAGCAGGCAGGUCCAAAAGGACAGUGGCUGUGUACUUUUCCAGGUUAAACACUGGGAUUGUGGCUCUGUGUACAGUCUGAGGCACAGCUGCUGCAUUUGAAUCUCUUAAAUCUACUUUGUUUUGUUCAAUAUCUCUAAACCUGCUCAGUUUAGCUCAUGCCGUUGCUGCAUUUCACCUGUUAAAAAGCAGCCCAUCAAUUUGGGUUGCUUCUCUGUAAUAAAGCACAGGAACAGCCAGUGUAUUUUGCCUUCCUGCUGCCACUGCCGUAAGAAGGUGAACUGGUUUAUACGGGGAAGACUUGGAAUUUACACAAAACUGUUUCUGAAGUUGUCAUCAACACAGUUGGUUCCGUCUACAAAAGUUUGAUUAACUUCUAGUUGAUAUAUAGUAGACUUUUAACAGCUUAGUAGUUUGCCUUCAUGUAUUUUAAGUGUUUAAUAACCUUCCCAAAUUUUUUUAAGCUCUAUUUUGAAGAUGAAGAAAGAGCAGAAAUGUACAAGCUGAACCCAGAACACACGUUGCUACAAGUGCUGCAGCACCAAAGGUAUUUUGUAAAGGCCGGGACUCCAACAGUUUUGGCGUUUGUAAAGCGUUCUCCUUUCUCCAAGAAGUACUUCUCUGGCAAGAAGGUGCAUCGACUGUAACGAGCGGGAACGAAACUGUGGGGGAUCCUGUGUGAGAGGCUGGUGUUUGUUACCCCAGCUGCAGACCACGAGCUUCUCCCUCAACAAAAACACCUUGCACGCUUCAGGGGGGAAGCGUAAUCUUGGCACGCAGGGAAACUUCCAGGGAAGCAGCACACGGGAGAGCGAAGGGCUUACAAGAGGGGAUUGUUUGUUUAAAAAGAAACCCAGCUGGUUUGCAGAAGGUCUCCCCUGCCAUAGGCUGCCUGUGGUUUGGAAAUCAACCUGAAGCUGUGCCAAAGGCUGGCUGCAGCUGAAGCAGCAGCUGGGAAAGCACUUACCUACCUGUGGAAAAUGGCCGGUUUCCUUGGAGGAGGGCUGUAGUUUCUGGGGUUUAAGGGCAGUGCUCUGGGGCUGUACCUGCAGCGGGAUGGAUGCUGUUGGGUUCCUGCCUGCCACUUGAGCAGCUGAUGGUUUCUCACCACCCAGCUCUGCUGCUUGAGAGCUCAGGGCUCUUCCUGGGGAGUGCUGUGUUUUACCCACCCUUUUGCUACCUUACUGAUUGUCCCAUGGAACCUGGAAAUAAACGUGUCUAUUUUAAGUA